rnacentral:rRNA from 1 species
GACGUAGGGCGCGAGCGUUGUCCGGAUUUAUUGGGCGUAAAGAGCUCGUAGGCGGCUUGUUGCGUCGACUGUGAAAACCCGCGGCUCAACCGCGUGGCUUGCAGUCGAUACGGGCAGGCUAGAAUUCGGUAGGGGAGACUGGAAUUCCUGGUGUAGCGGUGAAAUGCGCAGAUAUCAGGAGGAACACCGGUGGCGAGGGCGGGUCUCUGGGCCGAUAUUGACGCUGAGGAGCGAAAGCGUGGGGAGCGAACAGG